CCUACGGGUGGCAGCAGUGGGGAAUAUUGGUCAAUGGGCGCAAGCCUGAACCAGCGACGUCGCGUGAAGGAUGAAUGCCCUCCGAGUUGUAACCUUCGUUUGUACAGAAGUAAAGUGAGUCACGUGUGCAUUUUUGUAUGUACUUUAUCAAUAAGGCACGCCUAACUCCGUGCCGGCCGCCGCGGUAAUACGGAUGAUCCGAGCGUUAUCCGGAUUUAUUGGGUGUAAAGGGAGCGUAGAUGGGUGGUUAAGUCAGUGGGGAAAGGUUGAGGCUCAACCGUAAAAUUGCAAUGGAGACGGGCAGUCGGGAGUACAGGUGAGGGAGGCGGAAUUCGUGGUGUAGCGGUGAAAUGCGUAGAUAUCACGAAGAACUUCGAUGGCGAAGGCAGCUUACUAAACUGCCACUGACAUUGAUGCUCGAAAGUGUGGGUAGCAAACAGGAUUAGAUACCCCUGUAGUC
rnacentral:rRNA from 1 species